AAUAUUGGACAAUGGGGGCAACCCUGAUCCAGCUAUGCCGCGUGUGUGAAGAAGGCCUUAGGGUUGUAAAGCACUUUCAGCGAGGAAGAACGCCUGGCGGUUAAUACCCGCCAGGAAAGACAUCACUCGCAGAAGAAGCACCGGCUAACUCCGUG
rnacentral:rRNA from 1 species